UACGGAGGUUGCGAGCGUUGUUCGGAAUAACUGGGCGUAAAGGGAGCGCAGGCGGUUUGGUCAGUCUAAAGUGGAAUCCCGGGGCUUAACUUCGGACGUGCUUUGGAUACUGCCAAACUUGAGUACGUGAGAGGUGAGCGGAAUUCCAGGUGUAGCGGUGAAAUGCGUAGAUAUCUGGAGGAACAUCGGUGGCGAAAGCGGCUCACUGGCGCGAUACUGACGCUGAGGCUCGAAAGCGUGGGGAGCGAACGGG
rnacentral:rRNA from 1 species